CGGACGGGUGAGUAAUGUCUGGGAAACUGCCUGAUGGAGGGGGAUAACUACUGGAAACGGUAGCUAAUACCGCAUAACGUCGCAAGACCAAAGAGGGGGACUUUCGGGCCUCUUGCCAUCGGAUGUGCCCAGAUGGGAUUAGCUAGUAGGUGGGGUAACGGCUCACCUAGGCGACGAUCCCUAGCUGGUCUGAGAGGAUGACCAGCCACACUGGAACUGAGACACGGUCCAGACUCCUACGGGAGGCAGCAUG
rnacentral:rRNA from 1 species